rnacentral:lncRNA from 1 species
AGGAUUUCGAGGCUUCUUGAUGAACACAGAAACCAUAGCCCCUUGGAGAAGCUCUGCUGAGGAGAUCUUUCUAGCCUUUGUCUGCUCGCCCCUCGCAGCUGGUCUGCUCUCUGCGGAUCAUAGGGAGUCAACUUUUCCAUGUGUUUGCAUUGCAAGUGACAUCUGGCUGACAGGAACGUGGAGAAAUGGAAUCCGAAGUGAAUGCUGCAGUUACCACAAGCCUCAUAUUUAUCAAAAGGUUUAAGGUUGCUCUGUCUUUGUUUAACAUAUGAAACUUGGAACCCUGACGGGGAGGCUGCGAACCUCACUGUUUCCUGCCUUUUCUCAGCUGAUUUGUUUAGUAAAAGAG